AUGGGAAACCCUGUUGAUGCACCUAAACCCUAUCAAUGGAUAUGGACAUCAUGCUCUUUACCAAAGCAGAAAUUCUUCUUCUGGCUCUUGUUACAAGACAGAUUAAACACUAGAGAUCUACUAAAAAGGAAGAAUUUCUACAUUGAGACUAGUAAGUGUGAAUUAUGUGAUGAUGAACCUAAUGAACAUUUAAUGCAUCUGUUUUUUAGCUGUGACUUCAGUCAAAACUUCUGGAUGAACAUUGGCUACCAAUGGAACAGUGAUCAUAACCUCAUAGAAAUGCUCCUGGAGGGAAGGAAGCAAGAUACACAUGGAUGCUUUAAAGAAUGUCUGAUUGCUGGAUGCUGGAGUCUAUGGAAACACAAAAAUAGCAUAAUUUUUGACAACAAGGUCAAAAAUAUGACAUUCUGUAUUGCCACUUUCAAGGAGCACUUUUGCAUGAUUAUAAAGAAGGCAAAACCAGGAUUGAAAGAGGGCAUGCAAAGCUGGCUAGAUCAUUUGUAG
rnacentral:rRNA from 1 species